GAUGAACGCUGGCGGCGUGCCUAAUACAUGCAAGUCGAGCGAAUGGAUUGAGAGCUUGCUCUUAUGAAGUUAGCGGCGGACGGGUGGGUAACACGUGGGUAACCUGCCCAUAAGACUGGGAUAACUCCGGGAAACCGGGGCUAAUACCGGAUAACAUUUUGAACCGCAUGGUUCGAAAUUGAAAGGCGGCUUCGGCCGUCACUUAUGGAUGGACCCGCGUCGCAUUAGCUAGUUGGGGAGGUAACGGCUCACCAAGGCAACGAUGCGUAGCCGAACUGAGAGGGUGAUCGGCCACACUGGGACGGAGACACGGCCCAGACUCCUACGGGAGGCAGCAGUAGGGAAUCUUCCGCAAUGGACGAAAGUCUGACGGAGCAACGCCGCGUGAGUGAUGAAGGCUUUCGGGUCGUAAAACUCUGUUGUUAGGGAAGAACAAGUGCUAGUUGAAUAAGCUGGCACCUUGACGGUACCUAACCAGAAAGCCACGGCUAACUACGUGCCAGCCGCCGCAGUAA
rnacentral:rRNA from 1 species